GUAAAACCAUUUUUAUUUAAUAAAUGUUUAAUGCAAAGAAAACAUCACCUUUUUGUUUUUGGGGUUGAAUGUGUCGACAGUAGUUAAAUACUUUGGACAAACUUGUUUAUUAUUACCAGUACAUUGUAACAGUUCUGAAAAGCUGUUUCAUGUCAUAUGCUGUAAUGCUUCUCCCAACCUCAAGGGGGAUCUAGGGAAGUUUCUGAAGGGAAGGCUAUCCUUUUAAGAGAGACGAGUAAAACUGUUUGCUAGAGGUACUGGCAUGGCUUUGAGUAUUGCUCAACUUGGUAAUGCAUGAGACCCUAUUAUGAGGAACAUUUUUUGGUUCUACAGCUCAGUAGGGUUUUCUUUAGGCCUCUUUUGAUGAACAAGCACACUGUUCUGCAUCUGGACUAUAUGAUCUAUAUACUACACCUUUGCUUAUUUGGACUGACGUUUGGUUAUGGUUUGGGACACUGUAUGUUGAACUUUUGUGGAUUUCCAAUUGAACUGUCGGAAUGUGGUGAGAUACUCAUUACUUACCUGACUAUGUGGGAUUUGUGAGAAAUGGACUUUAUGAUUGAACUCAACAUGUGGUUGGGCUUAAAUGCUCUAACAAGAUGUUUCUUUUCUUUGAAUGUUUUGUUGAUAUUGGUGCUGUUAUGGGUGAUUGCUCUUUAACCCUUUAAAUAUAUUAUUCUCUACUCUUGGAUGAAUGGAUCCCCUUCCUUUUAUAUAUGUGACAAAAUAAGAGUGUUACAACAUGUCUGUUUUUCUGUCUAAUUUAGCAGAUGUGUCCUCUGCUUUAGAUAUUUUAGAAGUGCCUUUCUCUCCUCAGACAUUUGCAAAAUACUGAAUCAUCUUUGCUGUUCACACAUUUUGUCAUGGCUGUUAGAAUGCUAAUGUGUACUAUUGUUUGUUUUUAAGUCAACUCUGCUAAUAUGAUAAUGACUUACCUAUUGUACUACUACAUUUAUGUUUGCAUGGUAUACACAGCGUACCUUAAUGAGCCUUCAUUAAGUUUGUUUUAAAGGUAGCAUAGUUGCAUAAAGAUGUCUUUGUUUUUAACACAAGACGUCUUAUGAACUAUAUUUUAGCUUUAUAUUUUUUGUAAAGUAUUACCAUUCAUAAAUAUAAUAAAUGACAUUGAAUGCC